AUCCUGGCUCAGAGCGAACGUUAGCGGCGGGCCUAACACAUGCAAGUCGAACGCGAAAGGUCUUCGGACUGAGUAGAGUGGCGCACGGGUGAGUAACACGUAGGUAAUCUACCCUUUGGCGGGGGAUAACGUUCCGAAAGGAGCGCUAAUACCGCAUAAGACCACGGAGUCUCCGGACGCUGUGGGAAAAGGUGGCCUCUUCUUGAAAGCUAUCACCGAAGGAUGAGCCUGCGUCCCAUCAGCUAGUUGGUAAGGUAAUGGCUUACCAAGGCGAAGACGGGUAGCUGGUUUGAGAGAAUGAUCAGCCACACUGGCACUGGAACACGGGCCAGACUCCUACGGGAGGCAGCAGUGAGGAAUAUUGGGCAAUGGGCGAAAGCCUGACCCAGCCACGCCGCGUGAGUGAUGAAGGCCCUCGGGUCGUAAAGCUCUGUGGAGAGGGACGAAAACCCUGGUUUCAAAUAGGCUCCAGGCUUGACGGUACCUCUUUAGCAAGCACCGGCUAACUCUGUG
rnacentral:rRNA from 1 species